UCCGAGUUGACCCCGGCAGUCUCCUAUGAGUCCCCACUAUCACGUGCUGGCAACAUAGAACGAGGGUUGCGCUCGUUGCGGGACUUAACCCAACAUCUCACGACACGAGCUGACGACAGCCAUGCACCACCUGUGAUCGCGCCCCGAAGGGAGGGUGUGUUUCCACACCUGUCGCGAACAUGUCAAACCCAGGUAAGGUUCUUCGCGUUGCGUCGAAUUAAACCACAUGCUCCGCUGCUUGUGCGGGCCCCCGUCAAUUCCUUUGAGUUUCAGCCUUGCGGCCGUACUCCCCAGGCGGGGCACUUACUGCGUUAGCGACGGCACUCAGAGGGUCGCUCCCCCAAGCACCUAGUGCCCAUCGUUUACGGCGUGGACUAC
rnacentral:misc_RNA from 1 species